UGGGGAAUAUUGCACAAUGGGCGCAAGCCUGAUGCAGCCAUGCCGCGUGUGUGAAGAAGGCCUUCGGGUUGUAAAGCACUUUCAGCGAGGAGGAAGGUGGUGAGCUUAAUACGCUCAUCAAUUGACGUUACUCGCAGAAGAAGCACCGGCUAACUCCGUGCCAGCAGCCGCGGUAAUACGGAGGGUGCAAGCGUUAAUCGGAAUUACUGGGCGUAAAGCGCACGCAGGCGGUUUGUUAAGUCAGAUGUGAAAUCCCCGGGCUCAACCUGGGAACUGCAUUUGAAACUGGCAAGCUAGAGUCUCGUAGAGGGGGGUAGAAUUCCAGGUGUAGCGGUGAAAUGCGUAGAGAUCUGGAGGAAUACCGGUGGCGAAGGCGGCCCCCUGGACGAAGACUGACGCUCAGGUGCGAAAGCGUGGGGCAGCAAACAGGAUUAGAUACCCUGGUAGUCACGCUGUAAACGAUGUC
rnacentral:rRNA from 1 species